rnacentral:rRNA from 1 species
GAAAAUAACUAUGAUUCCCUUAGUAACGGCGAGUGAACAGGGAGAAGCCCAAAUUUGUAAUCUGGCACUUUUUACGAGUGUCCGAGUUGUAAUUUGUAGAACUGUUAUCCGUGCUGGACCAUGUACAAGUCUGUUGAAAAGCAGCAUCGUUGAAGGUGAAAAUCCUGUAGAUGAUAUGGACUACCAGUACUCUUGUGAUACGGUUUCUAAGAGUCGAGUUGUUUGGGAAUGCAGCUCAAAGUGGGUGGUAAAUUCCAUCUAAGGCUAAAUAUAAGUGAGAGACCGAUAGCAAACAAGUACCGUGAGGGAAAGAUGAAAAGAACUUUGAAAAUAGAGUUAACAGUACGUGAAAUUGCUGAAAGGUAAACGUUUGAAGUUAGUUUUGUAUUCGUUGGAUCAGCUUCGCAAGGAGUGUAUUCUGAUGAUAAGCAAGUCAACAUCAGUCUAUGAGUGUUGGAGAAGGGUUUUGAGAAUGUAGCAAUUUAAUUGUGUUAUAGCUUGAGACUUGGAUACAAUGCUUUGGAUUGAGGAACGCGUAGUAAGCUUUGAGUGGAUUCGAAAGGAUCUCCUUACUAUGGAUGUUGGUGAAAUAACUUUAAGCGAC